GCGCGGUAGCUCAGAUGGUUAGAGCGUCGGAUUCAUAACCCGGAGGUCGACGGUUCAAAUCCGUCCCGCG
rnacentral:tRNA from 1 species